CCUACGGGAGGCAGCAGUGAGGAAUAUUGGUCAAUGGGAGGAAUCCUGAACCAGCCAUGCCGCGUGCAGGACGACGGCUCUACGAGUUGUAAACUGCUUUUGUACCGGGGUAAAAAGCUCUACGAGUAGGGUUUUGAAAGUACGGUACGAAUAAGGAUCGGCUAACUCCGUGCCAGCAGCAGCGGUAAUACGGAGGAUCCGUGCGUUAUCCGGGUGGAGUGGGUUGAAAGGGUGCGUAGGUGGUUUUAUAAGUUAGCGGUGAAAUACCGAUGCUCAACAUCGGGGCUGCCGCUGAAACUUUAGGACUAGAGAGCGGAUGCAGCAAGCGGAAUGUGUAGUGUAGCGGUGAAAUGCGUAGAUAUUA
rnacentral:rRNA from 1 species